rnacentral:rRNA from 1 species
AGAGUUUGAUCAUGGCUCAGGACGAACGCUGGCGGCAUGCCUAACACAUGCAAGUCGAACGGAGUAUAGAGAGCUUGCUUUCUGUACUUAGUGGCGGACGGGUGAGUAACGCGUGAGCAACCUGCCUUUCAGUGGGGAAUAAUAUUCUGAAAAGAGUACUAAUACCGCAUAACGUAUUGUUGUCGCAUGACGAUGAUACCAAAGAUUUAUCGCUGAGAGAUGGGCUCGCGUCCGAUUAGCCAGUUGGUGGGGUAACGGCCUACCAAAGCAACGAUCGGUAGCCGGACUGAGAGGUUGAACGGCCACAUUGGGACUGAGACACGGCCCAGACUCCUACGGGAGGCAGCAGUGGGGGAUAUUGCGCAAUGGGGGAAACCCUGACGCAGCCAAUGCCGCGUGAAGGAUGAAGGUCUUCGGAUUGUAAACUUCUUUUGUCAGGGACGAAAGAUGACGGUACCUGACGAAUAAGCUCCGGCUAACUACGUGCCAGCAGCAGC